UACGUAGGGUGCAAGCGUUGUCCGGAAUUAUUGGGCGUAAAGAGCUCGUAGGCGGUUCGUCGCGUCGGCUGUGAAAUCCCGAGGCUCAACCUCGGGUCUGCAGUCGAUACGGGCGGACUGGAGUACUGCAGGGGAGACUGGAAUUCCUGGUGUAGCGGUGAAAUGCGCAGAUAUCAGGAGGAACACCGAUGGCGAAGGCAGCUCGCUGGGACGGUACUGACGCUGAGACGCGAAAGCGUGGGGAGCAAACAGG
rnacentral:rRNA from 1 species